UCGUGCUUGUGGUGAUGAUGGCCGUGAUCAUGAUGAUCGUGCCCAUGUUCAUGAUCACGCCCGUGAUCAUGGUGAUCGUGGUCGUGAUCAUGAUGG
rnacentral:pre_miRNA from 1 species